rnacentral:tRNA from 1 species
CGGGGAGUAGUGUUGGUUCUACGGCGGGUCUCAUAAGCCUGUCUACGAGGGUUCGAUUCCAUCCUCCGCUUCCA